rnacentral:ncRNA from 1 species
CCACCUCGAUAGUUAGAUGUCGCCUAUAUUCGCGAGGAUAUACGGAAACAAUGGGUGAAUUGCAAGAACAAUCUUUAUAUUAACUAUAUUCCCAACUAGUUGGGAACAAGGUUAACUUGCAGCGAAAAUAAUACUAGUCUAUUAAAAACAUAGGACUUGUUCAAAACGUUCAACGACUAACGGGUGAAUUUGACCCUCUCAUUCGUUUAUUCUGAUUCGAAAGAGUAUGGCGGAGAAGGAAAAUAAUCCUGACACGAGUGCCCAUUAACUCAAUCGCUUAGUUUUUUUGUGAUUUUCUCCCCCGAUGAAGCGCCCAGCUCGGCUGGGCGAGGGCUAAAGCAAAAACUUAAAAAAAGGAGUUAAAGACAUAGUCUGAUCUUAGUAGUAGUACUAAG